ensembl:lncRNA
GUAUUAUAUUGCAGUGUAAAAGGGGCAUGUUAUGAUAAAACAAUGUCAACCUCCUAUAUUAGGGAUGGAAAUAAUAUUGGCUGUUAUUCUCCUUCAUGUGUUCAAUUUCCGUAUGGAGAGAUACCUAUUUUAAUUCAGAGAGGCAUGCAAACAUUAGUGGCAACAGAGUUGUUGUGUGUUUUCCGGGCUGUAUGGCCAUGUUCCAGAAGUAUUAUCUCCUAUGGCAACAUCUGAGGAUGCCUGCUAUAGAUGUGGGCGAAACGCCAGGAGAGAAUGCUUCUGGAACAUGGCCAUAGCCCCGUCCUCGGCUGCUCCCAGGGGCCCAGAUUCGCACCCUCCCUCCCCCCCAAUACAGGUCUCCAUUCCAUACUACGCUACAUGAACUUGAAUGGAUACUGUGGUUGUGUUGUCGAAAGCUUUCAUGGCCGGGAUCACACUGUUGUGGUAUGUAUUCCGGGCUCUACGGCCAUGUGCCAGAAGCAUUCUCUCCUGACGUUUCACCCACAUCUGUGGCAGACAUAGAGGUUUUGACGUCUAUGCGAAGCUAGGCAAGUGGGGUUUAUAUAUCUGUGGAAGGUCCAGGGUGGGAGAAAGAACUCUUGUCUGUGGGAGGCAAGUGUGAAUGUUGCAAUUGGUCACCUUGAUUAGCAUUGAAUAGCCUUGCAGCUUCAAAGCCUGGCUGCUUCCUACCUGGGGGAAUCCUUUGUUGGGAGGUAUUAGCUGGCCCUGAUUGUUUCCUGUCUGGAAUUCCCAUUUUCUGGGUGUUUCUGGGAAGGUAAUGGCACUCCAUGUAGUCAUGCCGGCCACAUGACCUUGGAGGUGUCUAUGGACAACACUGGCUCUUGGGCUUAGAAAUGGAGAUGAGCACCAACCCCCAGAGUCAGACAUGACUGAACUUAACGUCAAGGGAUACCUUUACCUUUACCUACACACACACACACACACACACACACACACACACAAGCAGGGACUAUAUAUAUAUAUAUACACAAUAUAUAUCACACACACACCAAUUUAACAAAGUUUCAGCCACAAAAACAAAGUUUCUGAAGUAGAACAAUGACUUUCACAGUAAAGACAACCCAAUUUAACAGGAAAUAAGACUUUCAAACCAGGAACAGAUUACUGCAAUUAUUAAAAAAAGGUUUAUUAUAAAAGCUAUGAAAAUUUGCCAAAAAUCAGAGGAUAAGGGAAACGUUCCACAUUUUGGUGAGCUAUCAGUGUUAAAUGUGUUCUACCACUGUACCAAGUUUGAAGAAGAUCACUCAAAAAAUGAGGGCGGGAGAGCCCCCUAAGUCCCCCCCCCUUCGGGCUGUUUUUGGGCCACCGCGCAUGCGCGUCCGCCAUUAACGAAUUAAUUUAGAAAAUAACGAAUUUUCAUUAAUUUCGAAAAAUUUUGGGGGCCAAAUUCGUUAUUAGCAACAAAAACGAAAAAACUGCCCCCUCUAGUAUUGAAACGAGUUUAGAAUCAAAUUUUUCAUGGAUCGAUCAAGCCUAGUAUAUGGGGUUGUUGCCUCCCCCCUCCUCCUUCUCCAUCCACACUUCCCUUUCCUUUUGUCCUUUCCCACGUUUGAAGACCAGACCCUGUCAUAAAUCAGCCUAUCCCGCCAAAUGGUCUCCUUCCUCUGUCCUCUUGUAGUCAGGUUGCGAAAAGACCAGCUUUGAUGAUGCUGUUCUUUGUUGCACCCUGACAAUACUCGAGUAUAUAUAGUAAUCGACAUGUGUCAAAUGCCAGUGCUACGGAAUAAUAGCAUAAAACUCUCAGCCUAGACAAUGAACUUUUCCAGUUCUGAUUGUGGAUUGGUAGUGGCUCCAUGUCAAGUGAGUUGAAUCAAUGGAGAGCAGCAUUAUUCGCCAAAAUCAUCAAAGGGACUGGUAUGUUCUUCAGUUCUAGUCAAGCCCCUACCAAGUGAGCUCUUGCCAUGGUUUUCUACAAAAGGACCCUGGCCCGUAUGAAGCUAUCACUACUCAGCUAUUACUAUACAUGCUUUUCUAAAAAAAGCACACAUGCACAUACAAGCAUUAAAUCCUCCACUUCAUAUAAAAUAAUAGUGGAACUGGUUGGCAAAUUAAAGAUGGUUGUUAUUGAUUCCAAAAAUACUUUUGCUUUCAGCAAAAUACAUUUUUAAUUACUUUCCUACUUGCUGUCAUUUUUCAUAAACCAGUCUAGACAACUCGUGCCAAAUCAUGCAAAAACUGAUUUCAAUGAAAUGCCUUCCCCCUAAUAUCAAAGAUCUGAAAAUAUUCAUAUUUUUAUAUAUCUGAAUCUAAAGGAAGAAGGAGAAGAAAAGAUGGCCUCAUUCCAUAUGCAACUCUAGCAAAACCCAAAGUCCUUGUUUAGGAAAUAAUUGCUACAGCCGAUUAGUGUUUAUAAAAAAAAAAACCCUGAAUCCGCCUGUUUAGAAGGAAAUUUUAGAAGAUAAAUGAGUAGAAGUCCAUAUAAUAUGCAUUUUAUUUUUUCUCUUUCCUUUUUUAAUAAUUUGUCAGCCACAGCUCCACAGCUCCCUUUUCCCAAAACAGAUUACCGCAAAGAUAAAAAUCUAGCAAAAUCUGCAUAACCAUAGCUUUUAAAAAUAUGCAUUCUCCAGUCUGCCUUUAUGCGUAUUUAUCAUGAGCACAUUGAGAUGGAAAGAGAAAACGAGGAACAAUCUUAACUUAUAUUUUCUUCACACUUUCAACUAGAAUUAUUAAACCAAGUGGUGGCAAGAGAGAGAAAAGAGAGAGAGAGAGAGAGAGAGAGAUGCACCACACAGUAGUAUAGAAUGUAGAUUUUGCUUUUAGCGUCAGAAUCAAUGUCCAAAUCUAAAAUUGAUAUAAUUGACUGUUAAUUAAUUCCCUUGAUAUUUUCAUUAGCACAUCCAAGCAACAAGUCUUCUGUUUGGCACUUUUGAAUUAUUCAAGACGAAUUCCAAUUGCCAUAAUGAAAGCGUUAUGUGGUUGCUUCUGUGCCUGCUAAUAAAGUUAAAUACAAGGUGUGUUUUUACACACAUACACACUGCUUGCAAUACUUACUGAACAAAUAAUGUCGGAUUCCAAAAUACAGGACUUAGCUCACUAGCAUUGACCCUCUUGGGGUGGGAUGGGAAAGGAUCUCUUGGCAAAAAAAGCAAAAUGAAUCACAUAAAGAGUGUUUAUCACUUAAGUAUUGUGCAUUUUAUGUUUUAUUUUUUUUUAAAGAAGCUGUAGGAGGUAAGUUUUUUGUAAAAAAAAAAAAAAGCAUAAGAUUAGCUUACAAUUGCUGCAUUUUUUCAGUAUUUGCUUUCUAUAGAAAUUUUGUUUCCAUACUCUACAAUCAGCCAUAACCAUAACAAAGAUUAACCAAACUGUUCCCCAAAUCAGAGCUACAAACCAACUUCAAACUACGGUUUCACACUCUUGGUUACUAUGUACCAUGACUAGCAGUGUAAUGGUUGUUAAUAGAAUAUUAGUACUAAAUGGAAGGUAGACAUCAGAUGGUAGGAGAUGUGAAACGUCAGCUCAUCCGCUGGACUGGACUUGGAAGUCCUUCAUAAUGUGACCAGCCCUUCCUGUUCUGAUGAGAUCUGUGAGUGAGUGGGAUUGGGCAUUAGGCUAGGAAUUCAAGAGACCAGGGUCUGAAUACCUGCUCAGCUGAAGGAAUCAAUUAAUUGAACUUGGGCAAGCCAUUCUUAGUCUUAUGGAAGUCAAACAACCUCUGAAGAAAUCUAGCCAAGACGACCAUACAAUGGGUUUCCUGAAGUUGAAAUGUAUCUCUGCUGUCAGGCAUUUAGGGAAUGAUGAGAGGCAGGUCACUUGAGAUGAUGUGAAUGGGAUUUGGGGUUGGGAUAGGAUAGGGGCUAAGUAGUUUUUAAAUGUAGUUUUAGAUGCAUGUUAGUAUUUAUUUGCUCCGUGAAACAAAUUAUUUUUAUAUUCACUGUGCCCCUGGUGGCACAGUGUUUUAAAGCGCUGAGCUGCUGAACUUGUGGACCGAAAUGUUGCAGGUUCAAAUCUCGGGAGCAGAAUGAGCGCCCGCUGUUAGCCCCAGCUCCUGCUAACCUAGCAGUUCGAAAACAUGCCAAUGUGAGUAGAUCAAUAGGUACCGCUCCGGCGGGAAGGUAACGGCGCUCCAUGCAGUCAUGCCAGUGGCCACAUGACCUUGGAGGUGUCUACGGACAACGCCGGCUCUUCGGCUUAGAGCACCAACCCCCUGAGUCAGACACGACUGGACUUAACGUCAGGGGAAACCUUUACCUUUGCCUUUCAUGUAUUUGCUCUGUUUUUAAUAUGUGUGUGUGUGAUGUUUGCUGUUAGCUGCCUUGAAUCCUUCUAUUGGGAUAAAAAGAACGUAAAUAAAUAAAAUAAAUAAUAAACUGAGUAGCCAAACCCUGAAAUACUACAUUUCACAAACUGUUCCUCACACAACUCAUUUCAAAUCUGUCAGCUUCUGCAAGUUAAUUUGUUACCUUUUGGGAAUUCCUAAUUUCUUUAAAAAAUCUUAGCAUUGGUAAGAAUAGCAUAACAUUUGAACAACAAAUUGUUCUCAACUAUCUCUGAAAUAUAUUUUAAAUUAAUCAGAAAAGUAUUUAGAAAAAGGCUACUUUGACUGUGUUCCUUCCCAAAAGGAAUAUCUUUCCUCUUCAUUUUGCUAUUUUUGCAAUGUGAUUUCAUUAAGCUGUAUUCUGAAAAGAAAGUACCUUAUAUACUCGAGUAUAAGC